rnacentral:lncRNA from 1 species
GCUCUCCCGGGUAACCCCGACCUCCCAGCACGCGGGACGGGCCCGCGCCAGGACUCACCCAGAGGCCGCAGAUCCCCAGAGUAACAGCUUGUCCUUCCUCGAGGCUCUUUGCUUAGGAAGAAAGCAAAGAAUAGAACCUGCAAGAUGGCGUAUUCCCUUCCAAUCCUGGCGGCCUGAGUUUGAUCCCAAGAUCCACACGGACUUGCCUCAGCAUGUGCACCCAAUCAUCCAGAGUCCUCAGAAGCAGCAAGAAACUGUGCCACCAGAGGUCUUUUGGUGCGUUUCUCUCUCUGGAGUCCUGACAAAUGCAGCUCAACUACGCAAUGUAAGGCGGACCAAUACAUGCAUGUUGUUAGCAAA